GUGAUAGGUCCAGGCAGAAAGAUACACUUUAUCCCCACACGGUCUAUUUCCUUACCAAUGAAGUAGGAAAUUAGACAAGAAUUCUAUUACAACUAAGGUAUUUCGAGAGACCUCACUCUCCACAACCUUUCCUCCAAACUAGAUACAAAAGACACAACCUCCUCCCACCCACCUAAACAGACUGUUUUUAUAAAGUCUGUAACAGCUAUGACAUAACUGCCCUAACUGUCAUGUUUUUUUCCUUCUAUUAUAGACAAUGCCAAACCUAUCAAUACCCCCUCCAUGAAGUUUGAUCUUGUCCUCAAGGUGAAAAUCUGGAAAUUCCUUGCUGAUUGAAGAGGCCCUUCCCAACUAUUGUCCGAAUUUGGAAGUGUGGAAGGUAAAGGCAGGAUAACAGUAGCUGGCUGGACUGCUCUUUUGAGGAGAGACACACGAAACACUGGGUGGAGUCUGCUUUCUUUGGCAAUGUAAUUGGUGUAUCCGUGCCCGAAUCUCGGUUUUUUCCAUUGGAUGUAACAUCAGAUCUAUUACUUCUCCAG